rnacentral:rRNA from 1 species
GGGCCCGCACAAGCGGUGGAGCAUGUGGUUUAAUUCGAUGAUACGCGAGGAACCUUACCAGGGCUUAAAUGUAAGUUGCAUGAUUUAGAGAUAGAUCUUUCUUCGGACUACUUACAAGGUGCUGCAUGGUUGUCGUCAGCUCGUGCCGUGAGGUGUCAGGUUAAGUCCUAUAACGAGCGCAACCCCUGUUGUUAGUUGCCAGCGAGUAAUGUCGGGAACUCUAGCAAGACUGCCGGUGCAAACCGCGAGGAAGGUGGGGAUGACGUCAAAUCAUCACGGCCCUUACGUCCUGGCUACACACGUGCUACAAUGGUAGGUACAGAGAGCAGCCACGUCGCGAGGCG